GCGAAUCCAUUUUUCUCCAAAGCAUCUUUUUUUAAAAGCAGCCCCCUUUUUUUCAAAAGCUUUCUCUUUUCUGAAAAGCCCUAAUUUCUGAAAAGUCGCCUUCUACUUCUCCCAAUUCAACAUCACGCUUGACUAAUUGCCUCGUGACAUCAGUCCUUAUCUCCAUUUGUUCAAUUGUUUGUUCUUUUCUGGAGGAAAAAAUUGAACUCGUAGUAAGUCAAAGCACCAUGAACGAGUCUGAAAUUUCUCCAAAUGAUGAUGUUGGUAAGGUGCUAGGAAAAGAGCAUUCUGGAAGGGUGAGGUGCUUGGGAUUAGGAGUUGUUCCUAGCAGAUCCUUUAAACAAACAUGUCCUCAUUUUAGCAGUAUGAGUUCUUCAACUAGUAACAGUUCAUGUCCAUCCAAUUGUCAAGAAAACUACACUCAAAUAUUAAAUGCUCAUAAGAAUAGCCAAGAGAACUACAAAGAACUGGUGAAUUCUCACAAUUUAAUGAUGAACGCUUUCAAGGCAUAUAUGAUAAUGAAAGAAGGCAUGAUACCUGAACAGUUUGCAGGAUUUUCACUACUACGGUAAAUAAUUUUGAUUUGAGGAAAAUUAAGUUAAUGUAUUAUUAUAAAAUAUUUAGUAUUCAAAAACCUUACUAUUUUUAUUUUUACUUUUGUAACCAAGUGAUGUCUCUACUUGACCUCUUUCGGAUGUGAAUGGAAGAUCAUCUAAUGAUAGUUAUUCUAGUGAUAAUCAUUGAAAUUUGUAAUUGUAUUAGUAAUUAUGAUAAUGUUAUCGAAUCGGUGUUGGAGAAGUAUUUUGUGUUGAAAUUAGUUUUUAAGACUAAUGACAAUACUUUUGUUGUACGUUUUUAUGAUCUAAUAUAUAUUGAUUUUUGUUG